GAAGUGUGGUCUUGCUUUUGGGUGAGUGGGCCUCGCGGGCGAGUACCUGGCGGGCGAAGUUGGCGCGGGCUGAAAUCAAAAGAUCGGUUGAAAAUGGGCAGUCCCCGACCUUGUCUGAGAUUGAGCUGUGCUGUGCCCAGAUGGCGCUGUGUGCAAACCAGAUUAGUAAAAGAGGCAGGCUUCUGGCAUUCUGUGAAAAUGCUUAAUCUUCAAAAUAAUUGGUCCGCUGCGGGAACGGUGGGCUCUCAGUGGUGUAAAGGAGCUGUUACCCGGAGAUGUUGAGGUGCAGGGGGAAAUUCCAAAACACGUGAGAGAAUAUUUGCUAGGAAAUGGCUUGAUUGGAACCUGACAGUCUUAACUCAGCAUCCUGGAGAUUGAUGAACAAUAAUGGAGCUGUUAAUGUCACUGAGGAGCAACCUUACUUUAAAUGAGGUGUCGCUGUCUGCCCAUGGAAAGAGGCCAGUUUGCAGAAACCUUCCUAAGGCAUAACUCAUUUCUGGCAAAUGCCACCAGAUUUACUUGUAUGAAAAACAUAAGGAAAAGUUCUUCAUUUUACUGGCAUGGGAAGAAAACCUACAAAUCAAGACAAUGUAUUUUUAUU